UACGAAGGGGGCUAGCGUUGUUCGGAAUUACUGGGCGUAAAGGGCGCGUAGGCUGUGCUGUAAGUCAGGCGUGAAAGGCCCGGGCUCAACCUGGGAAUGGCGCUUGAUACUGCGGCGCUGGAGGGUGGGAGAGGAUGGCGGAAUUCCCAGUGUAGAGGUGAAAUUCGUAGAUAUUGGGAAGAACACCGGUGGCGAAGGCGGCCAUCUGGCCCACAUUUGACGCUGAGGCGCGAAAGCGUGGGGAGCAAACAGG
rnacentral:rRNA from 1 species